rnacentral:rRNA from 2 species
AUGCAAGUCGAGCGAACUGAUUAGAAGCUUGCUUCUAUGACGUUAGCGGCGGACGGGUGAGUAACACGUGGGCAACCUGCCUGUAAGACUGGGAUAACUUCGGGAAACCGAAGCUAAUACCGGAUAGGAUCUUCUCCUUCAUGGGAGAUGAUUGAAAGAUGGUUUCGGCUAUCACUUACAGAUGGGCCCGCGGUGCAUUAGCUAGUUGGUGAGGUAACGGCUCACCAAGGCAACGAUGCAUAGCCGACCUGAGAGGGUGAUCGGCCACACUGGGACUGAGACACGGCCCAGACUCCUACGGGAGGCAGCAGUAGGGAAUCUUCCGCAAUGGACGAAAGUCUGACGGAGCAACGCCGCGUGAGUGAUGAAGGCUUUCGGGUCGUAAAACUCUGUUGUUAGGGAAGAACAAGUACAAGAGUAACUGCUCGUACCUUGACGGUACCU